AACGAACGCUGGCGGCAUGCCUAACACAUGCAAGUCGAACGAGACCUUCGGGUCUAGUGGCGCACGGGUGCGUAACGCGUGGGAACCUGCCCUUAGGUUCGGAAUAACUCCCCGAAAGGGGUGCUAAUACCGGAUAAUGUCUUCGGACCAAAGAUUUAUCGCCUUUGGAUGGGCCCGCGUUGGCUUAGCUAGUUGGUAGGGUAAAAGCCUACCAAGGCGAGGAUCCAUAGCUGGUCUGAGAGGAUGAUCAGCCACACUGGGACUGAGACACGGCCCAGACUCCUACGGGAGGGAGCAGUGGGGAAUAUUGGACAAUGGGCGAAAGCCUGAUCCAGCAAGGCCGCGUGAGUGAUGAAGUCCUGAGGGUUGUAAAGCUCUUUUACCCGGGAUGAUAAUGACAGUACCGGGAGAAUAAGCUCCGGCUAACUCCGUG
rnacentral:rRNA from 1 species